rnacentral:rRNA from 1 species
GAGUUUGAUCAUGGCUCAGAACGAACGCUGGCGGCAGGCCUAACACAUGCAAGUCGAGCGAGACCUUCGGGUCUAGCGGCGGACGGGUUAGUAACGCGUGGGAACGUGCCCUUUACUACGGAAUAGUCCCGGGAGACUGGGUUUAAUACCGUAUACGCCCUUCGGGGGAAAGAUUUAUCGGUAAAGGAUCGGCCCGCGUUAGAUUAGAUAGUUGGUGGGGUAAUGGCCUACCAAGUCUACGAUCUAUAGCUGGUUUGAGAGGAUGAUCAGCAACACUGGGACUGAGACACGGCCCAGACUCCUACGGGAGGCAGCAGUGGGGAAUCUUAGACAAUGGGCGCAAGCCUGAUCUAGCCAUGCCGCGUGAGUGACGAAGGCCUUAGGGUCGUAAAGCUCUUUCGCCAGGGAUGAUAAUGACAGUACCUGGUAAAGAAACCCCGGCUAACUCCGUGCCAGCAGCCGCGGUAAUACGGAGGGGGUUAGCGUUGUUCGGAAUUACUGGGCGUAAAGCGCACGUAGGCGGACUGGAAAGUUGGGGGUGAAAUCCCGGGGCUCAACCUCGGAACUGCCUCCAAAACUACUAGUCUAGAGUUCGAGAGAGGUGAGUGGAAUUCCGAGUGUAGAGGUGAAAUUCGUAGAUAUUCGGAGGAACACCUGUGGCGAAAGCGGCUCACUGGGUCUUUUCUGACGCUGAGGCACGAAAGCUAGGGUAGCGAACGGGAUUAGAUACCCCGGUAGUCCUAGCUGUAAACGAUGAGCACUAGGUUGGA